AAAAAGCCCCAACGCAUGUCAAACCCCACCUCCUCUCACCUCCCCCCUCUCUCUAUUGUAUCUCAUAAAAAAAUCCGAACGCAUGUCAAACCCUGCCUCCUCUCCCCUCCCCCCAAAUCGAAGAUCGCCGCCGCCGUCGUCGGAGCUCGUCGUUGCCUCACUUUGUUGCCGAGUCCCCCUCAAAACCCCUAGCUCCCUCGCAUCCUCUCUCUCCUUGAAACCCUAACCCUAGUUCCUCCUUCCCUAAUCAUAUCUCGCUUCUUCUCCUGUUCCUCAUUUUCGCCGGCCGCCUGACUUUUCGAGUUGGGGAUUCCUUCAAGCAGGGAGCCUAUGUAGUGCAAUCGAAGCUCAGUUGGGGGCACAUUUCUAUAGUUCGGAUCGUUGGGAUACGGUUCACAGUGAAGAUUAUGAGUUUCUGCCUAUAGAUCCUUAUUGUCCUCUCAACCUUCGUGCUAUACAUCGAGGUGUGAGAUGAACUUUCCAAGGAAGAGGUGUUCUCAGAGAUCGAUAAAAAAUGGUAGGACGACCUAUGCAAGUUUUAUUCUACUAAUAGCAAGCAGGCAAAACAAAAUAAGGAUAAUCAGGAGUCAAAGAAGCGAGGUCGUGCAACCUACACGGGUGGCUCGAGGAGCAUGGUUCAGGCAAAGCAGAGAAUGAUAAAAUUAAUUCUUAGAGUUAAAAAAUACAUUUCUUAGUUUAUGGUACGAUAUAUUAUACAUAUUUAUAUUUUGGUGAAUUAUAGAGAGCUCAUAUUGAAGAAUCGGGUGGCAUCUCAAGUGCAUUAAAGGAGUAUUUGGGUACCCACGCGAUGUUUGUCGAUCCAGCAGCUAAUACAUAUUCAUGUACAUAUAUUGACACCCAAACUCAAGAGUAUUGUGCUCGAUGAUAGAAAGGGCCAAAUCAUUAGGGGUCGACCGAGAACACAAAUCUACUGCAAUGACCAUGAUCUUAGAUGAUGUACAUGGAGGGCAUCAAGGUGGUUAUGAAAGCGGCUUGGGUCAUGGUGUCACCAAGUUUUAUUUGAAGACUUCCUCCACUCUGACCUUCGCUAUCCCUCCUAAUGUCUUUCGUGAGAUGGCAGAGCUUAAGUUCAAGAUAGAACGACUAACCCAAAUUUUAUGUAUAGAAGUUGUUAUUCAUCUAUAUCUGUUAUGCAUCAUAAUGCACACACUGUAUGCACAUUUAUAGUUGCGAAAAUCCUACAUAUAGGAGCUGAACUCCAACCUCAUCAACUGAAAAAUAUGUUCUAGGUAUCCAAAUUUCAUGUUCUAUUUAUA